GAAAAUGACAUCACAAGACCUUAAGAAGAGCUAAACGGGCUGCCACCUGUAGCUGAAGAGUGCCUUAACGCCGAGGCCCACGGCUCCAUGCGAGAGAUGCCUGUUCCUUCUCUGAUAAAUUUGGCAGCUUCACGUACCCUAAGUUUUUGCAUUUCUGACAACCACGUGUCCUCACCUGGACCCGCCAACCCAUCCUGUGGCCUCCACCCAGGAACUGACUCAGCAUGAGAGGACAGCCUCAAUUCCCCAUGAUUUCAUCUCCAACCCAACCAAUCAGCUUGCCCCCUACCCUGGUCCCCUGCCCACCAAACUGUCUUUGAAAAACCCAUAACCUCCAUGCCUUCAGGGAGAUAAUUUGAGUACUAACGCCAUCUCCCAUGGGGCAUGGCCGACCUCGUGUCUAUUAAACUCUUUCUUUACUGCAAUGUUGUGGUCUUUCUGGGUGCAGUGGACAGGAAGGACUCCUUGGGAAGUUACACACCUAUCCCCACAAUGGUGUAACUCUGUGAAGUUGUCCCAUGAAUCGCCCUUGGCUGUUUGGAGACAUCUAGUAGAUUACACCACCAUUCCAUUCCCAGCAGCUAAUAACUGACGGAUGGGGGAAGGAGUAUAAAAGUCAAGUCCCUUGACUCAGUGACCACUCUGCUAUGCAAUUUAUAUUCCAGAGCCCCUGUCUCAUGGGUCAGGCCAAAGCUAGACUUUAUGUGAGACCACAUCUUUGUUUUGUUACUUGUUCUUCCCCAUCCAGAGGAUCAUUUCCUCAAUAAAUCACAUACUCAUUAAGGCACA
rnacentral:lncRNA from 1 species